rnacentral:lncRNA from 1 species
AUGCACCUAGAAGGAAAAGAGUUCACGUAGACAUAGAGCUUAUUCAAAGCUUAGAGCUACACAAACGUUCGACAAUUCGCAGGCUGGCAGUGGGAAUUAAUCGCAGCAAAAGCACAGUUUGGCGUUGGGUGAAUCAAGGGCUGAUCAGAGCCCACACAAGCGCUAUAAAGCCUGCUUUGACAGCACCUAAUAAAUUGCUUCGACUACAGUUUUCACUAGAAGCAUUGGAGUUUGAUCGAAUCAUGAUG